AUUUUCUGUUUUGUUUAGUUUUUAUUUCAGUCUAUCCUCCCUCAUCCAGGUCCUCAUCCUUUACCCAGGCUGCUGCCUAAGGCAUCCAAAACAACAUUCUUGGAUACCAAUCAGAUCUCACUGUUGGCUGUACGUUAGCAUGCAGUGUGCAAUGCUGGGAGAAUUAAUGUUUGAGAUCUUUCCUGUCUUUCUUCUAAAACAGAUGUCAAUGCCAAUCAUGUCAUCUCGAGGGGACAUGGAGAGUGUCCGCCGUUGCCUGGCUCACAGCCUCUUUAUGAGUACUGCUGAACUCCAGCCAGAUGGCACCUAUGCCACCACAGACACACAUCAGCCAGUGGCCAUCCACCCAUCAUCUGUCCUCUUCCACUGCAAGCCUGC
rnacentral:lncRNA from 1 species